AAGGUCUAAUCUGCCCAAUGAUUAAUAUUUAAAUGGCCGCGAUAUUCUGAUCGUGCGAAGGUAGCAUAAUCAUUAGUUUUUUAAUUGAAAGCUGGUAUGAAGGAUUGGACGAGAUACUAACUGUCUCUAACUUAAUAAUUGAAAUUUAUUUUUGAGUCAAAAAGCUUAAAUAAUUUUGUAAGACGAGAAGACCCUAUAGAGUUUUAUAUUUUGUUAUUUUAUAUAUUAGUAGAAUAUAAUUUAUAAAAUUUAUAAAUAUUUUGUUGGGGUGACAGUUAAAUUUAAUAAACUUUUUCUUUUUUAAUAUUGAUUUGUAGAUUUUUGACUUAAGUUUUUAGUUAUAAGAUUAAAUUACCUUAGGGAUAACAGCGUAAUUUUUCUAAAGAGUUCUUAUCGAAAGAAAAGAUUGCGACCUCGAUGUUGGAUUAAAGUUUAAAUUUGGUGUAGAAGCUGAAUAUUUUAGUCUGUUCGACUAUUAAAACUUUACAUGAUCUGAGUU
rnacentral:rRNA from 1 species